UUGGAGGGCAAGUCUGGUGCCAGCAGCCGCGGUAAUUCCAGCUCCAAUGGCGUAUAUUAAAGUUGUUGCAGUUAAAAAGCUCGUAGUUGAAUUUCAGGCCUGGCUGGACGGUCCGCCCUUCGGGUGAGUACUGUCUGUGGUCGGGUCCUACCUUCUGGCGAAGCGUCAUGGCCUUAACCGGCCGUGGCGGGGAACCAGGACUUUUACUGUGAAAAAAUUAGAGUGUUCAAAGCAGGCAAUCGCUUGGAUACAUUAGCAUGGAAUAAUGGAAUAGGACAAUGGUUCUAUUUGUUGGUUUCUAGGACCGUUGUAAUGAUUAAUAGGGAUAGUUGGGGGCAUUAGUAUUCAAUUGUCAGAGGUGAAAUUCUUGGAUUUAUUGAAGACUAACUACUGCGAAAGCAUUUGCCAAGGAUGUUUUCAUUAAUCAGUGAACGAAAGUUAGGGGAUCGAAGACGAUCAGAUACCGUCGUAGUCUUAACCAUAAACUAUGCCGACUAGGGAUCGGACGGUGGUUUUUUUAUGCCCCGUUCGGCACCUUACGGGAAACCAAAG
rnacentral:rRNA from 1 species